GCCCUUAUGGCUAUGGGACAGAUCAGGAGGUUGAAGGAUGAUGAAGUGUUAAGAUGCCAGAUCCCUGAAAGAAAGCCGGGUGAUAGUAGAGAGAAAGAAGCGGGAGCAGAGGGAGAAGAAAAAGGAAUGGGAGGUAUGGGAUUUAAAACAGUUCUCAUGCAACAUGCCAAGUAUUAGGCUGGGGCACGCAGUCUAUGACCUCACAGCGAGGUAGAGCCUCUCAACAGUCUCACUGCAUCAGCCCCUCCGCUUUUGUGGUUUUGUUUGGGACGGAUCAAGAAAGCCCAAAUUGAGCACAGAACAUGGAGGUGGGAUGGCAGCCCGAAAAUUAACUGAAGUCGGCCAAGCGCUUGUGGUCGUCUAGUCAGGUCAGCACUGGUCAAGGCAGAACAUUGCCCCAUCCAUCCAGUAAAGCAGGCUUACCCUUGUUUUCUGGCAUGACUGCGUCACAAAGAGAAGCCCCUGUUUCUGACCCAGAGCCUUUGUCUUUGAAACCUUUUUGGACAAAGCUGCCAUGCUGCAGUAGUGGUGCAGACCCUGGACCUGGAACAAGAAUCACAGCCAACAGCUUUUGAGGUGGAACCACUGCUCAAGCCCCGCACUAAUGUGAAAAGUAAGGCUGGAUGUGAGAGCAAGUAGAAGGACCAUUUUGGGAUUAAGGAACUGUACUCUUAGUGGAUAAAGUGAGGCAACCUCACAUCAUGCUGAGGCAAAAAUGGGAAAAUGAUUACAAAAAAAAAAAAAACCGCUACGUAAGUUGAAUAUACAGUUUAUUUUAACCUAAAUCUCAUUCCACUGACAGAGAGACUGGAAGGGGUUUUUCUCACAAUUGCUGUCUCAUUUUUUGAUUCACAACUGGGAAAUACAUGACUGUCAGUUACUGUUUGUGUUCUCAUCAAAUAUUGUGUAUCUUCUCUUGUAUUAUUUGUAGGGCAGGUCCACACACAAACAAUGUUCAGCGGGCCUGUGUGACGCAACUGCAAAGUGCACUCUGAACAUGAUGCUUGAUUUUGCUCCUCUCCCACAGAGCUGAAAUUUAUCCAGCAGCAAUGUCAGCUAGCCAGGAUGCUAAACAGUCCCAGGUGCUGUCAGAGCUAAGCUAACACAAUAGGCCCACCUAAACUGUAAGGCCUUUGGUUUUACCUCAAGCUGCAGGCACCUCUCACUUAAGCAUCCAAACUAUAACAUGAAAGUAAUGGGCUAAGUAACUGAGCUAACCUUUGUGCACUCAUACCC
ensembl:lncRNA